AGCCACGAGUUUAGCUCAGACCGAAUUCGCUUUUCGCCUUUUACUAAGAGCUACCGUGAGAUAAACUCGCUAUAGUGGCUUACACGAAUUUUUGAAAAAUCCAACACUUUGGGUAG
rnacentral:snRNA from 1 species